AGGGCACCACCAGGAGUGGAGCCUGCGGCUUAAUUUGACUCAACACGGGAAAACUCACCCGGCCCGGACACCGUAAGGAUUGACAGACUGAGAGCUCUUUCUUAAUUCGGUGGGUGGUGGUGCAUGGCCGUUCUUAGUUGGUGGAGCGAUUUGUCUGGUUAAUUCCGAUAACGAACGAGACUCUGGCCUAUUAAAUAGACGGUAUAUCUAGAAAAAGUAUACCGCGCUUCUUAGAGGGACAACCGGCGUCUAGCCGCGUGAAAUAGAGCAAUAACAGGUCUGUGAUGCCCUUAGAUGUCCGGGGCUGCACGCGCGCUACACUGGAAGAAUCAGUAUGCGCCGUCGCCUAGUUCGGAAGAACCGGGUAACCCGAGCAAAUUCUUUCGUGCUUGGGAUAGGGAAUUGCAAUUAUUUCCCUUAAACGAGGAAUUCCCAGUAAAUGCGGGUCAUAAGCUCGCGUUGAUUACGUCCCUGCCCUUUGUACACACCGCCCGUCGCUACUACCGAUUGGAUGACUUA
rnacentral:rRNA from 1 species